rnacentral:rRNA from 1 species
GUCCACGCCGUAAACGAUGGGCACUAGAUGCCGGUGGGAACGACCCCAUCGGUGUCGAAGCUAACGCAUUAAGUGCCCCGCCUGGGGAGUACGGCCGCAAGGCUGAAACUCAAAGGAAUUGACGGGGCCCGCACAAGCGGUGGAGCAUGUGGUUUAAUUCGACGCAACGCGAAGAACCUUACCUGGGCUUGACAUGCUGGUGAAAGAUCAUGGAAACAUGGUCCUUCCUUCGGGACUCCAGUACAGGUGCUGCAUGGCUGUCGU